GUGGAUUAGAUACCCUAGUAGUCCACGCCGUAAACGAUGGAUACUAGCUGUUGGGAGUAAUCUCAGUGGCUAAGCGAAAGUGAUAAGUAUCCCACCUGGGGAGUACGUUCGCAAGAAUGAAACUCAAAGGAAUUGACGGGGGCCCGCACAAGCGGUGGAGCAUGUGGUUUAAUUCGAUGAUACGCGAGGAACCUUACCAAGGCUUAAAUGUAGUUUGACCGGUUUGGAAACAGAUCUUUCGCAAGACAAAUUACAAGGUGCUGCAUGGUCGUCGUCAACU
rnacentral:rRNA from 1 species